UCCCUGCUGGCUCAGACAGUAAAGAAUCCACCUGCAAUGUGGGAGACCUGGGUUUGAUCCCUGGGUAGGGAA
rnacentral:tRNA from 1 species